rnacentral:tRNA from 1 species
UCCCUGAUGGUCUAGUGGGCAGGAUUUGGCGCUUUCACCGACGUGUCCCGGGUUCGAUUCCCGGUCAGGGAA